GCCUGGUUUUCAACCUUCACAGAUCACCUACUUUGCCAUGUAGGGCAAGAGAUCAUCAGUAAGAACAAAAACAAUAUUGCUAACACCCUUGAGCAAGUAAGCUCACAAAACUCAACAAAGGGGAGGAGUAAUAAACUUACGAUAGAACUAAAUAUAAACAUGAAGCUCCAUUAGUGCCAUCAUAUGUAUACUGAAAUUAGUUCAGAAGGCCACUAAGACUCGAGGAAUCAAAAUAAAGGAAUCAUAGAAAGCCUGCUUUAGAAAAGGAAAUUCUAGAAAGAUUGGGGUGGGAGCAAGAGUGAGGAAAGAGGGGAGGGGAGAGAUAAGGAUAGCCCUAGAAAAAUAGUUAAAAGGAGAAAAGAGGAUGAGAACAGAAGGAAAGGUGGGGAAAGGGAGAAAGAGAACUGGGGAGGAGAAAUAAAAGAAAAACAAGGGGAGUCAGCAGAAAAUAAAAGCGGAACAAUAAAAGGGAGAAUAAAAAUAAAAUAAAAUUCAUUACAAUACGUUGCCAAGAAUUUGCAGCUAGUGGAGAAGAAAAUGUUCACUGGCUGGUCAGUUUCAAACUUUACAAAAUUGUAGUAGUAAAAUCAGGCUGAGUGGAUAUGUCAACGGAGUCUAGUAGGACAAGGACGUAGAGAAAGGUUUGCCGUUUCAGAAUAGCCUCUCUUAUCUCUGUGAAGCUGCUUUUGGGAGGAUGCUGUUUCCUAGUUAUUUCCUUCCAUUCAUCAUCUGAGAGAUCUUCCUUUUCACCCAAAGUCCCAAUGAGAACUUCAUAGAUGAAUGGGAGUUUGACCCCAGUUCUGUGGGGUGUUAGCAUCCAAAAUGCAUAUGUGAAGGGUUAAUUGCAAGAGCUGUGGAACCCCAUGACCUCAUACACUCUGCGGCAGUUAUGGCAGUUGGUACAGUUAUGACAGUUAGUUGAACAGUCUUAACAGUCUAGAGCGGCCGGCAUGUUGUGUUGUGAUGCUGUCUGCCUCAGGGCCAGAGUUAGUCUGCAACAGUUUAAAUCUAUGUAAGAUGUUCUAGCAACUCAAGAAACACCCACCUGCGUUGUAUAUAUUUUAAUCUGCAACUGCAAGAACACUAAGUAAAAGUUAUAUAUUAUUUAAACUUUAAAAGAGGGUGUCUUGCAUAGUUGUUAUAGGAGGGGAAAGAGAACAAAUUAAAGGGUCAAAUGACCCAGAGCUAUUUUUCCACAUACUCUGCAAAUGGGAACUAGAGCAGACCCUCCAAGUAUCCCUAUUUUCCAGGGAUUUCCCUGGUUUAAGAGAAGCCAUCCUGGUUUCUGAUUUGAUCCCAGAAUGUCCCACUUUUCUUUAGGAUGUCCCUAUUUUCAUCAGAAAAAUGUUGGAGGGUAUACUAGAGUUUACUUCCCACAAGGUCUCCCCGGUCCUAAUCCAGGGUGAGUGAGAAUGUGUGGGCAUGUACUGAUACAUACUUAGAUUAGUCAUAACCACAUCCACAUCUAGGCAGUGAUGUGCAUCAGCCUGCAUAUAGACUAUGCUAGUGGAAGCAAGACUCCUUUAGCAAGCGAGAGGAGCUGGCACGCACUUCAGGAAAUACCUUAGUAACUCUCAAGGUGCUUGAGAGUUGACGCUGAGAAGGAGAACCAACUAAAGCUUCGGUAGGAAAUGGAUACAGAUGUACACUGUGGGACAAAUGCUUCAGGGAUUUAAAGAAACACCAUCUCCUGCAAAGCACCCGCCCACGCCAUUGUAUUAUGUUAGCAUACCAGUCACUUCUGCACACCUGGGAGAUGUUGGCAACGCCACAUGCACAUCAAAUCUACUGAACAUAUGACCUGGGCAGUUUAUUGUGUUGUUACUGUGCCAGGUGGAUGGGCUGUACGUAGAUUCUUAGGUCAUUACUUAUUCAUUUACAGUUUUUAAUUGAUACUCUGCCGUAUUCCUCAAGAUCAGGGUAUUCUGGGGUAUUCUCAGGGUAUUCUGCCGUAUUCCUCAAGUUUUUGGGGGCGGGGGGGGCAGAAUAAUCUUGGUGCUUCAAACUCACAUCUCCCGCUCAAGAUAGCAUUUUGAGCAAUGCAACUAAAUACCAGAUCAAAUGCCCAUUCCUUGCUCCCACUUGCACUUCUUCCACUCCAAGGAAGAACAAUUUAAUUAAUAUCUCAUUUGUUCUGUUCAGCUGCAGUACUCAUUUGCCCAGAACACUCAAGCAUGCACACAGCCCAGUGUUUCAACACUUUGAUAGUGUUGCUUCACACCAAACGUACAUAUUUGUCUCAAGGCCUUCCCAUCAAUGACACACACCUGUCUCUAGGCCUUGUGUGCCAAGACAUUUUUCUCUUUUAUUUCGGAGCCACUAGAUUGCUCAUAAACAUUCACAACAUGGAUGCAAUGAUUCACAACUGAUCCAAUGGCUAGUGGGCUGGCCCGUUUCAAUAUACUGGAGCUUCAGUUCUUAUAGCAAACUGUUGGCAUCCAUCUGGCUUGGGAAACAAUGGAAGAGUGCAGCAUCAGGGGUAAAGUCAAACCCUUGGAGAAUUACAGCGCCUGCUGUGGCUGUAGAGACCAAUACAGGAAAUACAUGUUUUACUGCAGCUGGGGCAGAUGAAGGCGUCCAGUUGUGCUGCUACAGAGGCACCACUACGUUUUUUCCCCUCUGAACUUCUCACAGUGGUCAUUUCUCCUCUGGUCAUUGCUGUGAAUACACAAUCUGUCUGUCUCCAGGCACUGCGGUCGUCUGCAAGGGAUUAUCACACGCUGCCACAUUCGGUAAAAUAUACUGUUGACAUGUCAGAUCCUGUCAAAUGUUAACUUUGGUGCCAUCAGAUAUGAUCAGAUGUUAACUGUUCCUGAAAAAUCACUGAAUGUCCAGGGUUGGUGACAAAUUGAACCACUAACAAUCAUCCAUGUUUAGCCAUGCAAUAUUUUGGAAAUAUAAUAUAUUGAGUACUAUACAGUAGGAGGAUAAUUCACAAUGUGGCACAAGGAAAGGAAGGUCAGCAUGUUUGUGUGUGUGGUUUUCCCCCCUGGGCUCUGUUUCUGAAUCUUAUGCUUUCACCACCCUUGUGCAAAUAUGAACCUUCAAAUCUCUCCCAGGGUGCCUUCCCACCAUCUUUACAGCUGCAGCUGGAGCAAAGUCCCUUUUGAUGACUGGCAGUUAAAACAUUUUUGUGGUUUGUUGCCUUAUCUAACCACUUAGACCUAAAGAAAGAUGUUCUGACAAGCAAGAUGGUACAAACUCAAGAGUAAACACAUAUUUGAAUGACUUGGGUAGAGGAGGGAGGGAGGUUUAAGAGGCAGAUAGCAUCGCCUUUGUUAUAGCAAGCAGUUAUUCUUUCCUUCCGUAGCCUCACUUCUAUCAAGAGAACUUGAGGAACACAAUGGAUUAUAUAUAUAAGUAUUUAACACACACACCCAGCCAAUAUAUAGGAAGCAGUGACAAGAUGGUAGUUUAUGUUGUUGUGCCUAUGGCAGCUUCCAGCUCUGGCAUAUCAGAAAUUGGGCCAGCCCUACCAUUAGACAGAGCGAGGUGUCGCUUCAGGCAGCUCUGAUUUAGGGUAUGAUGAAAGGGUUACGGAUGAGCAAAUUUCUUUUUCUCUCGGUUUCUCAUUUCCCCCUCAAUCAUAAAUUCAGUUUUUCACAUUUCCACAUCAGUUUGCAAUUUUUUUUUUUUAAAAAGUGUGAAUUUCUCCUAAUACAUUUUUUCCUUUGCAAUUUUGCCUAAUUGACUCAUUUCUGAAAAGCAAUUUCCCCUAACGAAAUGCAUUUUGUAUGCUAUUUUCCCAACAUGUGACUUUUUAUGCACACUUCAGUAUGCCUUAGUAUAUGUAUACCCCAACCUAACCCUGCUCCCAAAUUACUUGGCUGGAGAACUGCAUUGCAAAAUUCAGAGAAGUGCAGAUUUUGAAAACUGGCUACGCUUAGGUUUGCAUAUUGAUUCAGAAAGUGCAGAUAAGUUAUGCUCAUCUUAAAAUGUAAACCAAAUAGAAUUUAUCGCCCGGCUGAGAGGUAAUCUCCAUUGAGUUUGAUAGGACUGACUUCCAAGUAAGUAUGUACUGGACUGCAGAUUUAACUCCCAGUUGUAUUUUUACUGCUAGAGAGGGGAAGAGGCCCCUGUGGGAUAUUCUGCUUCAGGUGCCAAAUUCAUUUGAUGGGCCUUGGGUACCUUGCAUCCAGAACUGUGGUAGUGCAGGGGAGACACCUCUCCACUGCUGCAAAAUGUCUCAUGACCCCAGUCCUGAGCUUGGGAAUUACAAUUGUAUGAUAAUCUUAAUAUUUAGUUAUCAUCAUAUUUAUCCCGCUCUGGGACCUUAGGGUGAAGGGUAGGGGAUAAACAAACAAACUUCACAGUUUUUUUUCUCAUCUGGAGGUACCAUCCCGUUGCACAACAACCAACAACCUACACUGCAUGGCAUAGGAAAGAAUUUUGCACGAUUGCUAUUGAAUACAGGAUAGUGAUUAUAUAAUGGUUAAUAAUAAUGAUGAUGAUAAAAAACCACCCUAUAGUUGAAAAAGUCAAUGCAGAAGGAAGGUGUGAAACCACAUCGGUGUGUAAUAUGACUCACAGCUAGCACAUGUUUAAGAGCCACAUUCAUUUUCCAUUAGAUUAGCACCCAAAUCAUCAGUGAUGCACUACAAAAACGAGCCUGCUAAGAAAUCAGAGAGCUUUAUGUUUCCUCCACACACUCCAGAGCUUCAUUCAAUUACACUUAUUCUUCUGAAUCCUUGAUGUUGAAUUAAUAGCAUAAUUUCACAGCCUGAUGACUUAUAGAGCAACUCCCCUCUCUUCAUCAUAUGAAAAGAGAAAACCCUCCUAGGAAAUGGAAGGAAGUCAGGUUUUCGAAAUGUGGGGAUUUCCCUCCCCCGGCCCAGUGACUAACACCACAAAGCCCCCACAUUUCAGCCAAAUUCUUGAACUCAUCAAAACUUCCAACGAGCCCCCAGUCAAAUAAACAGGGUGCUUUUAUUGCCACACCCCUGCUAUUUUGUGGUACACAUUUAUCAAAUUUCUGAAAGUAGAAGAUUCCUGAAUUAAAAUGGGAAUGUCUCACUUAUGCCUCGACAACAUCUGCUUUCAGAUAUGCAAGGGUGUAAGAAUUACCUUCCCCUUUGGAGGCCCCCAAUCCACAUUUUUGUGUGAAUGAGUCACAGUUAUUGGUGUUCCCCCUAAUGUGAAGGAGGCAUGUGUGGAAUAGUAAGUCAUUAUGAGAUGCAACAGCACAGCCUCCUCCUAUGAGGGUCUGUAAUUCAGAAGUGACUGAAUGAUCCAUGCAGAGGCAUGGCAAAAUUAUUAUUAUUAUUAGAGCAGUGCACUUGAUCUAACUGAAUCACAGAUCCCAAGCAGAAUUGGACCAAUUUGGGUCAACCAAGGUUUUUACCACAGUGGGUUAAGGGACCCCAGGUUCAAAUGGGUCCACCAAGACCACCAUGGGGCUGUAAAAAUUGGGGAAUAGUCUGGUGGCAAGGAGACAGAGGAGGAGAUGCACACAGGCAACUCUCCCCUUCUCCCCCUGACAAGUUUAAUUAGGGUUUAAGUAGGGUAUAAUAACUUGCCUCGCCUGGGUUUCCUAACGUUCCCUUCUUUUCUCCCUCUUAAAAACCUUUUCUCCCCCUUAAAAUAAAUAUCACACAAACUGCCAUAAAAGGUGAAAAUAGCAUUUACUCAGUCUACGUCUUGAAUAAUAACAUACAGCAGCUUGAUGUAGGCAGGCUUAGUGAGUUACUAACACUGAAGUCUAGCUCAGGGGUUGGCAAAGUUUUGGGGGCUGGGGCCGGUUCACAGUCCCGCAGACACCGCGGUGGGCCGGAGUGUGUGCUCGUGUGCGCACACACGCGCAGACACUAUUUCUGGCGCUCCUUCUGGCACGGAGGAGGCGUGUGCAGCUUCCCAUUGGCUGCAGGAGCUUCCUGCAGCCAAUGGAAAGCUGGCCAGCAUUGUGGAAGGCGGUCCCCGCUCUGAUCUGCGCUGGUUUAGCCGACUGAGCGGGCAGUGGGGGCCCACGGGCCGGUUAAAUAUCCCCCAUGGGCCUUAGGUUGCUGACCGCUGGUGUAGCUUAAAAAUGGAGUCUGAGCUGGAGUCUGAGCUGGAGUUCAGACAGACAGAUGUUUUCACGUUACAGACAUGGCAGAGGAGCAAAUAUAGCCACACCCUCUUCCUGUCAGGACACAAGAGGGAAGUGAUCUCACAGAGUUCUCUUUAGCACGUUUACAGGAAAGUUCUGUGAGCCUCAGCCCCUUCAUCUGCCUAUCUGGCAAAAUGUGAAUUGUUGGCUUGGCUGCAAUAAAUGCCCCACAUUUAAUACUGCUUGCGCUGGAAGCCUGCCCCAUGUGGUGAGCCAGUGCACUGCAUGCUGCAGCCUCUGCUUGUUAUUAUUUAUUACAUAUAUAUAAAUUCAAUAAAUAAUAAUAAUGGCAGCUCACAGUGGCGAACAGACAAGUGAUGAAACAUGUAAAAACAAUUCUGAUAGAGAUGCAGACUGGGAACCAUCUCUUCUUAAAAGGCUCGUUAGAAGAGGGAGAUGCAUCGUGCUAUUCUGGACAGACUCUGUCCACCCUGGUUUGCUAUUGGUUCUUCCCAGGAAGGUGUGUAAGAGGGCUUCCUCUCCCAGUUAAGCCUUGGUCUUCCUUGCCUCCAGUGCAUUCCUAUAUCCUUUGGCUGUCUUUCAGUCCUGCCAUCUGGUCUGAUCCUCAAUCAAAUCCAGUUACCUAAUUGAUACUGCUAGUGAAUCCUAGGGGUCUUCACUGGAUUGCCUUCUUAGCAUUUUCCAAUGCUGCGCAAAUGUCUGUAUAAUUGCAUUGCUACAUAGACCUUCCUAUAUUGGCACCUGUGCAGCUAAAUGCACACCAAGAGAGUUUAAUCAGAAUGGUCUCCAUUAACUUAUCUCAUCUAGAGCCCUCAACGUAUUAAUACAAGUUUCUGUGAUGUAUUAAAACAUGGUCGAACUCACCGGGGAGAUAGACAGAGUGUAAAAUAAAACAAUUUUGCUUUCGUAGCACAGGUAUAAUUGGUACGUUAAUUGCAGUCAACUUUACCUCUCUCAAUAUUAUUAACCUCCUGAUUUUCUCCAGCACGGCAAGUGGAGGAAUAUCAUUCUAUAGUAUAUUCUCAAGAAGGGGAUUAAAUAAUAGGCACAAAUGAAGUCCAAAUCUAGUACAAAAACACACACACGGAAAAGAUACAUCUCCCAGCUGUCUCACUAAUAUAUCCCAAGUCUGAGAUAGCUAUCAGAGCAGCCCAGACUUCAAAUUAUAGCAAUUAUGACGGUUUGUGCUGGUAGCCAGGAGGUGGGAAUUUUUUGAUGUGGUUAAAAAUAACAUCUUUUUUUAAAAAAAAAAUCCCAUAAAAAUUACAUUUUGCUAAUUUUCUGAUAAGAUAAUGUUGGAGCUAGGUAGCGUGUCUUCCAGAGCCUGUUUUCAAUUACAGCUCUUCUUCCCCUUCUGGGCUUUUACCACCUUGUCUAUGGGAUCCAAUUCCAUUCUGAGGAGUUCAUUUGUUUUAACUUUCUUAAUUAAUUGUAUUGUAUAGGUUUUGCCUUUCAAGCCGAUAUCAAUCUUCCAGAGUUAUUAACGAGCCUUGAUUGCCAUGGCGUGAUACAAAGCUCAGCACGGUUAAGUUGUUCUCUCUGUCACACGCAGAACAGAGUUCCCACAUUAGCCCGCUAAACAAAAAUAAUUGCACGUAAUUUAGAGGGGAACAAAGGACAAGAGCCUUGUGGUUGGGGAGGCUGAGGAAUAAUAACAUACAGAAAUCAAGUUGUGUGUCUGACUUCUCUUUCCGAAUUAGAUACCCAGGCUAGAUACCCAAUUGGGCCCAACAGCCAUCAGGUUUGUUAAACAAAACCUCCCACUGACUGUCCUCUAAGCCAGUGUUUUUCAACCACUGUUUCUAUUAUGCUUAAUGUAUGUAGGGUUUGGUGUCAGUGUUGCUUGUGCUGUUCACUUGUGUUCCUUUGGUGGUGAGAGAGGUUAGGGUUGGCCUAGGGUGUGGUUGUUUGUUUGUGAUUGGCUGUGGUGAUCUUUGUUUUCGUGUGUGAGUGGGGUGGGUGGGUGUUUUGGAUCAGGUUAGCCAUAUUGAUUUGUAUGCUGUUGGUGGAUUAUUGUCAUUGUCUUGUUGGGCUGUGUAUGUGAUAAAGGGGAGCCAUACCGGGGUAAAGGCGUCUUCUUCUGUUUGUCCCCAUGUCAGUUUCAGUUUAUUAGUUAAUUUUUCUAGUAAGGCUGUUUCCCAUACUAUUUGGUACCAUUGGUCCAUGCUUACUCCUGACAGGAACAGAAAAGCUUUUAAAAACACAUAUGGAAAUCUAUGGUUUUGGAUAAAUGCUGCAGCAUCACCCAAAAAGCAAGUUUUUUUAAAAAAAUAGUAACAACAGAAAUGGGAGCGUUACGAAUCCGCGGACAUCUUUAAAAUGGCACAAAGCCCUGGGUCCUCCUUUUUCCUGCUCAUUUUUCUGACGGUAUUAAUUUGCACCGUUUGAUCUUCUGCAAUUUGUAGCAACCUCACCUGUCUUUUGAGAUUUCUCUUCUCGGGAUAAGCCUGUCGCCUCAGAUAAAACUGCUGAUUUUUAACAGGCUGGAAAGCAUUUUGGUGAACAAAGAGAACAACCUAACAGUCAACAUCAGGGCCUGUAGCAGUGCGCAAUCCAGAUCCUUGCUGCCUCUGCCAAACUUCAGCAGCCAUGGGGAGAGAGGUGUCUUGCACCCCUUGCGGGAUACAGGUGACUAGUUUGCCAAAUGAGUGCCGGAAUACAGGAAGCUGGCUUGUAGAGAGUCAGACUGUUGAUUUCAUCUAGCUCAGUCCUGCCAGCUCUGACUCGCAGUGGCUCUCCAGGGUUCCAGGAAUCUGUCUCAGCCCUACCUGGAUACGCUGGGGAAUGAAUCUGGGACCUAUUGCAGGCAAGGCAGAUGUUCUGCAACUGAGCUAUGGAAAAAUGAUAUCUUCUGUAUUCAAAAAAGUGGGAAGGGGGUGGUGGGAAGAUGACGUACUGCACUAAUCGUUGGUAUUUGUUUGUUUGCUUGUUUAUUUCUUUGUAUAAUGUAUCUAAAAUCUGACCUUCGCCUGAAGGUCCCAUGGUGGAAAUAUACACAAUUCAAACCAAAAAUUAAACUAGAUUAAAGCAGCAUAAAACAAAAUACAGAUGAAACUAUUGUUGUACAAUAAUAAUAUAUAAUAAUAAUAAACUACCGCCCAUUUUCAGCCCAUUAGAGGUGUGUUUUCCUUUGACAGUGUUGCAACUAGAAUAGAUUUAAUGCAAUAUUUAAUACAAUAUUUUAAGGCACUACUGAAGCAUGUAUUUGGUUGAUUGUUUUUUUGGGUUGAUUGCAGCAGGAGAGAUACUACUCAAUUCAUCCAUUCAAAUAAACAAGACUUGGAAAUGCUUAGCACAGGUUACCCUGAAAUUAUUGUUGGAUAAGCUGCUGCGGUUUUAAAUGAAAUGCAGGUAGGUAGGCCAUCAAGGGAAAGCACUUUGAGCAGAGGAGCAGUUAAAGAUCUUAAUUCACUUUCUCUAAAAUCUUUUAUGAACUUGCCAAACGUAUAUUACAUAUCUAUUGAGAUAAAAAGAGAAGGGAGGAAAGUGUCAACAGAAAAGUCUCUGUGCUAUGCCGGGUUUUGUUUUGUGUACCUGACCGUAUAUUUUACCUGGUCAAUUACGUCUUCUCUCUCCAGGGCUCAGCAAUAAUCCACCUGUCAGCUAUGGAAGCCCAAACUGCACUUUGCACCAGCACUCGUGACACUAUUUAAUUGGAGUGGGGGAGGGAAUGGAAGGCGAGGGAUCCUUUUCUUAGGCAGGUGCAUCUGAAAGUCAAAAAUGACCAAGGAGACCAUAGUGGUUGGCCUUCAGCUCUUUAAACAUCUCCUGGAGUUGCUAUGCAGCAGAAAAAGAGAGAGAAAGGGCACUCCAGUGUGAUGGUGGCAGUAGGAAAAGAAAGAGGGUGGAAUCUCUAGUAUUUGCUGAUGACAAUAUCAGUGACAGAGCUAAGAAUUAAGUAAUGCCUCGCUACAUCCAACCAUGUAUAGCUACAAGGCCUUAGAAGGCUUAUCAGCAGCACACAUUAGAGAUUGACAAUAUUAUUACAUGCAGUAAAAAAUACUGCAACUUUUUAUAGAAAAUUUUUGGAAGGUCUUGCGGGGGGUGUUUCACAGUACCACAGCAGGGGACUUGAAGUCGGCAAAGUUUUUUAAAAUAUAUAUAUUUGAGGGUUUGGGGACACUAAAAAAAAUGUUAUGGAGCAUAGAAAAACUUAGCAUCAAGGCAUCACAGCGGAGGACCCAUUGAAGCAGUAGAAAAAAACCCUAAGGGAAAAAUAAUGACUAAUUCUUUUGGGGGGGGUUGUGGCCCAUAACAUUGUUUGUGUGUGUUUCUAAAUACAGUUUACAGACUGCAGGUUAGCCAUGUUUCAUGUCGAUGGUGAGGUUUUGGCUUCCUAAGGAUCCAAACUUGGAGAAGGAAGUUAUUAUUAAUCUAUAAGAUUGCUCUAAACACAAAAAAAAUUCCCUCCAUGGCUGACCUUGUGCUGACCUUUUAUUUCUCAGCCUCCAUGUUAUCCACCUGCAAUACAGGAGUGUUAACUGGUUGUCUAUGUGUUUGUGCAGCUGUGCAGGAGACUUUUACGGUUUUUGUGUUGAAAGCCCUAAAUCUACAGUGACAUAGAAUUGUAGAGUUGGAAGGGACCACGGGGGUCAUCUAGCCCAACCCCUUGCAAAGUCGGAAUCUUUUGCCCAAUGUGGGGCUUGAACCCAUGAACCUGCGAUUAAGAUUCUCAUGCUCUACUGACUGAGCUAUAUCUUGCAUACAGACUUGUACUUGCAAACACAGAUUGCUCUAGUGUAUGGCUUGUGUAUGGCUUGGGGUACAAAAGAUCAUUGACUGUGCUUCCUAAUCCAUCUUUUUGAACCCUGCUGCACCCUGCCACUGUUUUGCACCUGGCUCCAAGUUGGUGGUGGACCAUGGAGUUCCAGUAAAGAACAGUCCCACAAGCCUGAAGCCUGCCUGCUCCUUAUUCCAGAAAUAGUGGACAGUUUCCUCCCAAUCCGAGCCGUGCUAGGGAGCCCCACUCCACAAUUUCAGGCUGCCUAUAAAUAGUUCUGCAUUUAGAUCUCACUGUUUAAGCUCAAUGCCUUGUUUAUUCUUCCUGUCUAACCUGUGAUGCAUCCAUUGUAGAGAUGACUAAGAGAUUCAUGUUCAGCGGGAGAAUCAGGAUAAGGUACAUGCCAAUCACAGAACAGCAUGCAGGAAGUGACAGCUCUGAAUGACACAGAUAUGUGUCUACAUCAGUUACAAGCUCAGAUAGACAACCGCCCCACAGCUGCCUGCCAGAUCUGAAAACAUGGAUCCUGGGAAAUAUAAAAGAAACCAAAGAGCUGGUUUCAGUUCUGCUUUGCGUACAACAUGUAGCGUUCAUUUCCCCUAUCGUGCCAACGUCCUUUCUUCAAAAGGAUGGAAUUUGGGAAACAUAGCUUCUUCUUUUUUUAAAAAAUAAUAAAAAUAAUAAAAGACACAUAUUUCUCCCACCUGCAAGAGGAACUACUUAUAUAUAAACGCUGACCUUUAAAGUUUUUCAGAUCACCUUUACAAAGAGAUCCUCUCAGCUUUCAUCCCCAUAGGAACGCAAGCAAUUUGCAAGGCACACAGAGCCUCUUAGAGCAAUACUGCCCACCAUCUUGCGGCACUGGGAAACUUUUUUAAAUGGAGGAGAAAAAUUCUCUUCUCCUCCCCCCCCACCUUUUCUCCCAGAAUGGAUAGACAGUCUUACCCAGCAUUGCCUCUCUGCAUGUCAGUAACUAGCGGGCAGGUAAAAAGAGAGAGAAAGAAAAGAUCUUUUUAUUUAGAUAGGAGUUUGGCUUCUGUUCAAAUUGAUCUGUUUUAUCUGCUGUUGCUGCUCAUAACUGUCUGUUUUGUUGCUCUGUAUUUUUAUGAGCUAGCUUUAUAUACCAUUUCAUAUUUUAUGGCAGGCAUGGGAAGCCCCAAGCAAAAUGUUUUGCAGCAGUGGAGCACUGUUGCACGAGAAAAUGCACAAGAAGGUUGCUUGUUUCCGCUAGCACAAAUGUUGCAGAGAAUUCCUGUGCUGACCAACAUUAAAUCUCAC